CCCAGUUUGCCCUCCCGCUCGCUCUCUCCCCGACCGCUUGCAGCUCUCACUCUCUCCCUGACCACUCGCUCUCUCUCCCCAACAGCUCUCGCUGUCUCCGACCCCGACCGCUCGCCCUCUCGUCGGCCAGUCGCUCGCCGGCCAGUCGCCACCCUCUCCCUCUCGUCGGUGUCUUCCUCACCGCAGUCUUGCACCUCACCACCCAUAACCCUAGCAGCCCGCCUCCCUCUCGUCGGUGAAAGGUGACAUUUUUACCAGUUGGGGUGCUCGAUUCGUGGCGGCGGUGCUCGAUCCGUGGGCGGCGGUACUCGAUCCGUGCUGGAGCAGCGGGAGGAGGAGGCCAAGGUGGAGAUCGUGGUGCGGGAGGGGGAGCUCGGCGAGACGGCGGCUGGAUCUGAAGCGCGGCUGCUCCACCUUCCUCAGGGUGGCGGGGAUCUCCGACUCGCUGUAGAGGAGAAGGGCUCGACCGCUGGCGUCAUCCGCCGCUUCCUCAGGGUUGGCGGCAGCGGGCUGCGUUCCGGCGGGAGGGCGGCACGUUCAAGGUGCUGCAGGUGGCGGACAUGCACUACGCGGACGGGCGAAGCACCGCAUGCGAGGACGUGAUGCCCGAGCAGGUCGCCGGCUGCUCCGACCUCAACAUCACCGCCUUCCUCUACCGCGUCAUCCGCGCCGAGGACCCCGACCUCGUCAUCUUCACGGUUCACUACUCGAGGCGCUGGGCUGCGGCUUCAUCGAGGCGGACGACAACCACUCCCGUGCAAAUAAAGGUGAGCAUUCAGGAAAAGAACUCUUUGUGCAAUGAGCAUCCUUUUCUGCUGGAAUAUCAACUUUUUUGGAUGCUCAACCAUCAAUAAACAUAUUGGCUGAACUUCAGGAAAAGGAUGCACUGAAUCUUAUUUUGACAGGUGAACAGAUGGACAGUGGCUGCUCCUUGCUGAUCAAUUCAAAAUUGCUCUGGCGAUCAAUUCAAGCUUGCUGUGACUGGCGAGAAGACGUCCUGGUCAAUCACCACAUCUGAUCAAUUUCUGUCUGUGGCGAGAAGAAGUGGUACAACUCCGGCGAUCAAUUUCUUUGGUGAUUAACAGUUUUGAUCAAUUCAAACAGCAGCACAGGCGGCGCACGGGCGGGGAGGAGCACAGGCUGCUGCUGUUGGUCAGUGAGGGAAGGAGCACGGGCAGAGGUCAAUUGGCCGGAUCCGAAGCUCCAGUGCCUGAAUCGAGGAGCUGGAAGGCUGAGGCAGGAGGAGGAGCACAGGCUGCGAUGCUGCUGCUGUUGGUCAGUGCGGGGAGGAGCACGGACGGAGGUCAAUUGGCCGGAUCCGGAGCUCCAGUGCCUGAAUCGAGGAGCUGGAAGGCUCAGGCAGGAGGAGGAGCACGGGCGGCGCUGCUGCUGGUCGGUGCAGGGAGGAGCACGGGCGGCGCGAAGGCCAGGAGUCGCGGGCGGCUGGAGGCUGUGGCGGACGGCGAGGGAGUUGCGUAUGAGUUUGGGCUCUCAAUUGAAGCGGAGGAAGGCGGCCGGCGAGGGAGCUGCGGCCGGCGCGGGCGGACGCCGGAGCUGCAGCAGUGGGGUGGAGCCUGGCGGAGGGGAGGAGCGAUGGAGGAAGACGAAGAUCCCCGGCGACAAGAAUUUCAAAUUAAGGGUAGUUUGGUACUUUUUCCUGUUUUCACCUGGUCGGAGAAGUUCCCCAACGACAACUAUUUUGGAACAGAGGGAGUAGAUUCCAACCCAUGCACUGUACGGCUGUAAUUUUGCGCACCAACCGGUGUUCGAUACAUCACGAGUGCACCAGAC
rnacentral:rRNA from 1 species